UGUGUUCAACGUGCCCACGCACUUCAGAGCCAUAAUGACAGUGCACCUUUCAGCACCUGGAAACAGGGCAAACAACGGCAAUCCACGGAGGAUGAGUCUGAGUGUGUGUGUGUUUGACUGUGUGUGUGUGUGCGUGCGUGCGUGUGUGAGCGUGUGUGUGUGUGUGUGCGUGUGUGAGCGUGUGUGUGUGUGUGUCUGUGUGUGUCUGCAUGUGUCUAUAUAUCAGUGUGUGCCUCUCCGUGUGUGCCUGUUCCAUAGCUACAGCUUUUCUAGUAUAAGCCAAUGUUAAUGCAGAAAUUACUUUCAAGCACCCGCUGUCAGACACAUGCCACAGGUGUUACAAAUAAAACUACCGAACUACCAUCAAGCCUGAAUAUUACC